UACGUAGGUGGCAAGCGUUGUCCGGAUUUAUUGGGUUUAAAGGGUGCGUAGGCGGCCCUGUAAGUCAGUGCUGAAAUAUCCCAGCUUAACUGGGAGGGUGGCAUUGAUACUGCGGGGCUAGAGUACAGAUGAGGUAGGCGGAAUUGACGGUGUAGCGGUGAAAUGCUUAGAUAUCGUCAAGAACACCUAUAGCGAAGGCAGCUUACUAGGCUGUAACUGACGCUGAGGCACGAAAGUGUGGGUAGCAAGCAGG
rnacentral:rRNA from 1 species